CUUCACCGAGCCGAGCCACAGCGGACGGUCCGCCGGGCGCUCCGGUCCGUGGACGGCCUGGAGCGCCUGCGCCUC
rfam:Kitasatospora griseola strain MF730-N6 RKJC_1, whole genome shotgun sequence.